rnacentral:rRNA from 1 species
AGUGGCGAACGGGUGAGUAACGCGUGGAUGAUCUACCUACGAGAUGGGGAUAACUAUUAGAAAUAGUAGCUAAUACCGAAUAAAGUCAAUUAAUUUGUUAAUUGAUGAAAGGAAGCCUUUAAAGCUUUGCUUGUAGAUGAGUCUGCGUCUUAUUAGCUAGUUGGUAGGGUAAAUGCCUACCAAGGCGAUGAUAAGUAACCGGCCUGAGAGGGUGAACGGUCACACUGGAACUGAGAUACGGUCCAGACUCCUACGGGAGGCAGCAGCUAAGAAUCUUCCGCAAUGGGCGAAAGCCUGACGGAGCGACACUGCGUGAAUGAAGAAGGUCGAAAGAUUGUAAAAUUCUUUUAUAAAUGAGGAAUAAGCUUUGUAGGAAAUGACAAAGUGAUGACGUUAAUUUAUGAAUAAGCCCCGGCUAAUUACGUGCCAGCAGCCGCGGUAAUACGUAAGGGGCGAGCGUUGUUCGGGAUUAUUGGGCGUAAAGGGUGAGUAGGCGGAUAUAUAAGUCUAUGCAUAAAAUACCACAGCUCAACUGUGGAACUAUGUUGGAAACUAUAUGUCUAGAGUCUGAUA